rnacentral:rRNA from 1 species
AUCCGGUAAAGCGAAUGAUUAGAAGCCUUGGGGACGAAACGUCCUCAACUUAUUCUCAAACUUUAAAUGGGUGAGAAGCAGGGCUUGCUUAAUUGAAGCCUUGCAACGAAUCGGAGUGCCAAGUGGGCCAUUUUUGGUAAGCAGAACUGGCGCUGUGGGAUGAACCAAACGUCGGGUUAAAGUGCCAAAGUGGGCGCUCAUCAGAUCCCAUGAAAGGUGUUGGUUGCUUAAGACAGCAGGACGGUGGCCAUGGAAGUCGGAAUCCGCUAAGGAGUGUGUAACAACUCACCUGCCGAAGCAACUAGCCCUGAAAAUGGAUGGCGCUAAAGCGCCCCACUUAUACCCGACCGUUGCGGCAGAGCAGACCCUUUGCGGUCCCGAAGCUGCAACGAGUAGGAAGGUCGCAGGGGUGGCGCGGAAGGCUCUGGGUGUGAACCUGGCUGGAGCCGCCCCUGGUGCAGAUCUUGGUGGUAGUAGCAAAUACUCCAGAGAGGCCCUGGAGGACCGAAGUGGAGAAGGGUUUCGUGUGAACAGCCGUUGAACACGAGUCAGUCGAUCCUAAGCCUUAGGGGAAGCCUUAAUCAAGCGUUUGGUGUCUUUCUGAGAAACCAAAACACAGGCGAAAGGGAAACUGGUUCAUAUUCCAGUACCUGGUCGCGGAACCGUUCGGACUCUCGUAGACGUCGUGGCAACGCGACACGACUAGGAGACGCCCACCGGAGUUCUGGGAAGAGUUGUCUUUUCUGCAUAAGCCACCGAGUCCCUGGAAUCCUCUCGCAGGGAGAAUGGGUUUUGGUAUUGGCGAAGAGUGCCUCAGUUCUCGAGGCAUCCACGAAUGCCCGGUGGGACCUUGAAAAUCCUAGGGAGAUUACGGCGGAAUCGCACCAGCUCGUACCCAUAUCCGCAGCAGGUCUCCAAGGUGAACAGCCUCUGGUCGAUAGAAUAAUGUAGGUAAGGGAAGUCGGCAAAUUGGAUCCGUAACUUCGGGAUAAGGAUUGGCUCUGAGGGUCGGGAUGAUCGGGCUUUGUACGGGAAGCGGCUGCUGUCCAUCGGCUGGCCUGGGCAAGUCCUUCGGGGCGAACUCGGUCCAGUUCACGGAUCUCCGUGGAUCGGCAUUGCUUUGCGGGCCCCUUUCGGGGGUGUCCCGUUCGAUCAUCAAUCAACGACCAACUCAGAACUGGUACGGACAAGGGGAAUCCGACUGUUUAAUUAAAACAAAGCAUUGCGAUGGUCAGAGAGUGAUGUUGACGCAAUGUGAUUUCUGCCCAGUGCUCUGAAUGUCAAAGUGAAGAGAUUCGUCCAAGCGCGGGUAAACGGCGGGAGUAACUAUGACUCUCUUAAGGUAGCCAAAUGCCUCGUCAUCUAAUUAGUGACGCGCAUGAAUGGAUUAACGAGAUUCCCACUGUCCCUAUC